rnacentral:lncRNA from 1 species
GAGAGCAGUUGACAGUUAUUUUGCAGGAGGCUUCUCAGGGAUGAAGGCAAGCUGUCCCCUAGCUGAUCAGCUGGUUGGUGAGGACUCUUCACGAAAUAACUCAGCACUCAUGAUCAGCUGUCAAGCUCUAACGGAGUGUUGAGGCAGUCCCUGAAACCACAGCGCCAUUUUGUAGGAACUAAGAAGCCAACCUCAAGGAAUCACUCGCCCCAAGAAGACUUUGUUCUGAGCUGAUGUGUUUCUAGCCUGGUGGAGCCCCAGCUAUCCAAAGGAAGAGCUGUCAAGAAGAUUGGAACUUUGGUUUUUCCGAUUCACUCUUUUUUUCUCUCCAGCCAUCUGCCUUAAACAGCAGGAGAAAAGGAAACUCAGCCUUAAAGGUGGGGUCCUUCGGAAGGACUGACAGUGGGCUAGCUCUCCUGCUGCUGGGAACCUGAGUGCCUUUGGCUCCUUGUCCAGAGCUCAGCUUUACCACGGAGGUUACCUGCUUACCAUCAACAUCGAAACUUGCCUCUUCCCCUGGGUGUAUUCUCCCUCUUUUGUGUACAGUUUGGUUCCUCCAAACUGCUCUCCCUGUGAAGAAAGCCGAUGGAAUUCAGGGAGCCUGGCCAGCCACCCAGGCCUUUAUAAAGGUCCUCGUACCACAGGAUGUAUGGGAGACCCAAUAAAGACUUUGCAAAAUGCU